UAUGGUCGCGGAGCCGGGCGGUGCCCUAGGGGCGGCGGGGAAGGUUUGGGGUGAGCGGUGUGUCAGGUGUUCCCAGGCCACUGCUCAGGGCGCCGCGCGUCUCCUAAGUUCUCGAGGGAGCCCCGGGACGCGCGUAGAAAGCAGCCCGACUCAGCCCCGAGGGGUUCGGAAUGAGGAUGGCGGCCAGGGACUUUGGGGGUAACGCGGACUCCUGGGCUGCCAACAAAGGCCGCUGCGCAGGCGCUGCAUUCACUGCAGUUGCUUGCAUGCAUGCCUGGUGGGGCGUGGGGUCUGGGGAGGCUUAUCCAAAUCCGAUCUGGUAAAUAAGAAGUUAGUCUUUCCCAGUCACCGCCUCUUGCACGAAGAAUCGCCAGCACGGAGGCAGAGAGGACAGAAAACCACAGGCCAUUUGGGGAACUGAGUCCAGCUCAGUGUUUCUGGGGUGUGGGGGUGGCAUGGCUGGGGCUGGGGUUGGUGGAAAACAUUUGCAAUUUCUGCUUUAUCUCAUCAUUCCCACCUCUGACCUCUGGACCUGUUCUCUCCUACCCCUAACAUAAAUAGUUUUGGUUUCA